rnacentral:rRNA from 1 species
UACGAAGGGGGCUAGCGUUGCUCGGAAUCACUGGGCGUAAAGGGUGCGUAGGCGGGUCUUUAAGUCAGGGGUGAAAUCCUGGAGCUCAACUCCAGAACUGCCUUUGAUACUGAAGAUCUUGAGUUCGGGAGAGGUGAGUGGAACUGCGAGUGUAGAGGUGAAAUUCGUAGAUAUUCGCAAGAACACCAGUGGCGAAGACGGCUCACUGGCCCGGUACUGACGCUGAGGUGCGAAAGCGUGGGGAGCAAACAGG